rnacentral:tRNA from 1 species
GCCACGGUGGUCUUAGCGGUCAGAACGCUGGCUUUGUAAUCCUGGGGUCUCGGGUUCGAUUCCCGGCGGUGCCC